rnacentral:rRNA from 1 species
GAAUGGCCGCAGUAUUUUAACUGUGCUAAGGUAGCAUAAUCAUUUGUCUUUUAAUUGAGGGCUGGAAUGAAGGGUUGGACGAGGUAUUAGCUUUCUUUGAUUUAGUUAGAAGAAUUUAAUUUUUGAGUUAAAAAGCUUAAAUUUAUUUGUGGGACGAGAAGACCCUAUAGAUCUUUAUAGUUUAAUAUUUUAGUAAUUUAGGGAUUUAUGUCCUUUAAGUAGAAGAACUAUUUUGUUGGGGUGAAAGUAGAAUUUGAAUAACUUCUA